rnacentral:misc_RNA from 1 species
GAUGAAGAACGCAGCGAAAUGCGAUAAGUAAUGUGAAUUGCAGAAUUCAGUGAAUCAUCGAAUCUUUGAACGCACAUUGCACCCCUUGGUAUUCCGAGGGGCAUGCCUGUUCGAGCGUCAUUAUAACCCCUCAAGCUCAGCUUGGUGUUGGGGCCUGCUGCACUGGCAGCCCUUAAAAUCAGUGGCGGCGCCAUCUGGCUCUAAGCGUAGUAAUUCUUCUCGCUAUGGAGUCCUGGUGGAUGCUUGCCAUCAACCCCCAAUUUUUCUAUGGUUGACCUCGGAUCAGGUAGGGAUACCCGCUGAACUUAAGCAUAUCAAUAAGCGGAGGA